CAUGAACUGCGAGAUCAUGACCUGAGCCGAAGUCAGAUGCUUCACCGACGGAACUACCCAGGCACCCCUUCCUGGAAUGUAUUUAAUUGCGGAUCCUUUCAUUCCUUAAGAAACAAGCUGCCAUGUUGUAAGAGGGGCUGUCAACAGAGCCAUGUGGCAGGGAACUGUGGGUGACCUCUAGGAGCUGACCAGUAGCCAACAAGAAGUCGAGGCCCAAGGCCCUCAGCCCUACAGCUGCAAGGAAAUAAAUCUACAGACAACCUGAGUACACUAGGAAGUGGAUUCUUCCCCAGUCAAGCCUGUGGAUGAGAACCCAGUCCUAACUGACCGUGGUUGCAGCCUUGUGAGAGUCUACACGAAGGACCCAGAGUCCUGACCCAUGGUAAUUGUGAGGACUGCCUUUAUGGGAGUGGAGAGCCAGAUGGCAGGAGGUUUCUCUCCUAGACCAAUCAGCAUGUCCACAGGUUUUGCCCCCUCCAGCCACAGCUUGCUUCCAGCUCUCUCCCUACCUGAAUCAACAGCAGUGCCAGGACGAGCAGGGUGAAGGCUGCGGAUGCCCAGGAACUUACCCUUCGUACAGAGUGAGACUCUUCUGACCUCCGAGAGCUGUAUCCACGAUGCCCAGACAGAACCACGGUGUAUUGUGCUGUGAGCUUUCUGCUGCAAAAAUCCAAUAAGUUGUUUUGCAUAUAUACCCAUAUUUCUUCAUUGAUUUAAUAAAAGGUGGGGGGAGGG